GGGUCGUUGCCCUCCUACGGCCUCCUCCACGUCUCCUGAUGUACUGGCUUGUCUCCUGGUAGCGCCUCCAUGCUCUGGACACUACGCUGACAGACAAAGCAAACCUUCUUGCCACAGCUCGCAUUUAUGUGCCAUCCUGGAUGAGCUGCACUACCUGAGCCACUUGUGUGGGUUGUAGACUCCGUCUCAUGCUACCACUAGAGUGAAAGCACCGCCAGCAUUCGAAAGUGACCAAAACAUCAGCCAGGAAGCAUAGGAACUGAGAAGUGGUC